rnacentral:rRNA from 1 species
AGUGAACGCUGGCGGUAGGCCUAACACAUGCAAGUCGAACGGCAGCACAGUAAGAGCUUGCUCUUACGGGUGGCGAGUGGCGGACGGGUGAGGAAUACAUCGGAAUCUACUUUUUCGUGGGGGAUAACGUAGGGAAACUUACGCUAAUACCGCAUAUGACCUACGGGUGAAAGCAGGGGAUCUUCGGACCUUGCGCGAUUGAAUGAGCCGAUGUCGGAUUAGCUAGUCGGCGGGGUAAAGGCCCACCAAGGCGACGAUCCGUAGCUGGUCUGAGAGGAUGAUCAGCCACACUGGAACUGAGACACGGUCCAGACUCCUACGGGAGGCAGCAGUGGGGAAUAUUGGACAAUGGGCGCAAGCCUGAUCCAGCCAUACCGCGUGGGUGAAGAAGGCCUUCGGGUUGUAAGGCCCUUUUGUUGGGAAAGAAAAGCAGCAGGUUAAUACCCCGCUGUUCUGACGGUACCCAAAGAAUAAGCACCGGCUAACUUCGUG